rnacentral:rRNA from 1 species
UGCUUGCAUCAUGAUUUACAUUUGAGUGAGUGGCGAACUGGUGAGUAACACGUGGGAAACCUGCCCAGAAGCGGGGGAUAACACCUGGAAACAGAUGCUAAUACCGCAUAACAACUUGGACCGCAUGGUCCGAGUUUGAAAGAUGGCUUCGGCUAUCACUUUUGGAUGGUCCCGCGGCGUAUUAGCUAGAUGGUGGGGUAACGGCUCACCAUGGCAAUGAUACGUAGCCGACCUGAGAGGGUAAUCGGCCACAUUGGGACUGAGACACGGCCCAAACUCCUACGGGAGGCAGCAGUAGGGAAUCUUCCACAAUGGACGAAAGUCUGAUGGAGCAACGCCGCGUGAGUGAAGAAGGGUUUCGGCUCGUAAAACUCUGUUGUUAAAGAAGAACAUAUCUGAGAGUAACUGUUCAGGUAUUGACGGUAUUUAACCAGAAAGCCACGGCUAACUACGUGCCAGCAGCCGCGGUAAUACGUAGGUGGCAAGCGUUGUCCGGAUUUAUUGGGCGUAAAGCGAGCGCAGGCGGUUUUUUAAGUCUGAUGUGAAAGCCUUCGGCUCAACCGAAGAAGUGCAUCGGAAACUGGGAAACUUGAGUGCAGAAGAGGACAGUGGAACUCCAUGUGUAGCGGUGAAAUGCGUAGAUAUAUGGAAGAACACCAGUGGCGAAGGCGGCUGUCUGGCUGUAACUGACGCUGA